CACCAUAUCACGUUGAAACACCGGUUCCCGUACGAUCUCUGAAGUUAAGCAACGUCAAGUCUGGUGAUUACCUAGAUGGGUAACCGCUUGGAAAUACCAGAUGAUGUAA